rnacentral:rRNA from 1 species
CGUUCAGGGGUAAACCUAAGAAACCCAAAAGAUCGAACGGGGAGAUUCAUCGUCAGCGGCGUUGGCUUCGCGUCGGUGGGCGAUGUCCUGCGGUUUCUCGCGCGGGCACGCUACCGUGCGCGCAUGACCGGCGUCGUCGUCGUGCACUUCUCCCCUAGUAGAACGUCGCGACCCGCUGGGUGUCGGUCUACGGCCCGGGUGAGGUGACUGUCGCGUCGCCGGUAAAACGGCACGCGGCAAACCCUCGGACGCCCGGCCGGCUGCCCGGCGGUACUCGCACGGUAUCAGGCCGCAGUUUAUCUGCGUCAAGCCCGUCGCAAGCGCGCGCCACGGUUACUCGGAGGUACGGACCUAGCGCCGUCCCCGGUCCUGGUCCGCUGUUGGCCGACGGUGACCCUUUGACAGGCCUUACGGGGCGACGUGGGGGGGUGUUAGCCAUUCCACGUCCGCCCUAAUACCGGUCGGCGACGCUACUGCUUUGGGUACUCUUAGGACCCGUCUUGAAACACGGACCAAGGAGUCUAACAUGUGCGCGAGUCAUUGGGACUAGCAAAACCCAAAGGCGCAAUGAAAGUGAAGGUCGGCCUUGGCGCCGACCGAGGGAGGAUGGGCAGCGUCGCGAUGCGGCCUCGCACUCCCGGGGCGUCUCGUUCUCAUCGCGAGAAGAGGCGCACCAAGAGCGUACACGUUGGGACCCGAAAGAUGGUGAACUAUGCCUGGUCAGGACGAAGUCAGGGGAAACCCUGAUGGAGGUCCGUAGCGAUUCUGACGUGCAAAUCGAUCGUCGGAACUGGGUAUAGGGGCGAAAGACUAAUCGAACCAUC